CAGGAAGUUGUAAAGCAGACUGAUUGCAUGGGGGGAGGAGUCAGGGACGAUCUCCUCCAAUGGGACGGCGGGAUUCUCCUUGAAGGCCAGGUUUCUUGGGUGGGUGUCCCGAGCACCCUGAGGACACAACACAGCUGCUCGAUGUCAUUCUCCCCCGGAAACAGAGGAGACGAGUUCAGCAACUCCCCAAAAAUACAACCCACUGCCCUGCAACGCACACAAGCACAAUCACUGGUCGACGCCCUCAUCAUACUUUCUGGCCCCAUACAGCAACUCAGGAGCACGAUACCACCUGGACACACAAUGUAUGAAUGAUAAUGUAUUGAGAGAAAAAAAAGAAGGACUGAACCUCAGAGAGGGUGCUACCUUGUGGCUACUUGGUGGCUGUAGAGUCGAUCCUCUUGCUGACUGAGGAGGCGGGCCAGACCAAAAUCAGCGAUCUUCAGGUGUCCUGACGAGCUGAUGAGGAGGUUGGCAGGCUUCAGAUCCUGGCGACAGACAGGAAGUGCCUUAUUGUGCAGGCUGGCGGCUGCAGCAGGCCAUCGAUAGUGAUGAGAGAUUCAUCCAUUUUUAUCGAUUCAUUUUAUUAGAUUUUAACAACUAACUAAGCAAGAGAGAAACCAUUGAUUAAAGUCACUGAUUGGACUUUGGGGAAACCAAUCAGUCCUACUUGACCAGAGAUGGUGCUCACCCGGUGCAUGAUGUUGUUGUUAUGCAGAAAGGCCACACCCUUCAACAGCAUCAACAUGUAACCUUUGACCUGCGCCGGGGUAAGAGGUUGCCGUGCGUUGCGGAUGACCUCAGAGAGGUCGGACAGCAUGAAGUCAAAGACUAGGACAAAACCGGUGCCAUGCGGGAAGACAUCCUUCAGCCUCACCACCUGAGGAGUUGGAGCAUAAAAAAAUUGACUGUCUCAGCCUCAUUUUGGGCCAACUUUGGCUCUAAAAGAAAACUGUUAUCUAACCAGCAUUUCACUAGGAUGUCCUCAAUUAUAAUAUUGGUGAGCCUCAUGUGAAGGUAGUUUGCUCCUCUUGAAUCAAUUACCUACUGAAUAGUCGCUUACUGUAACAGAUUUGUAUUGCGCUCAUGCUCAAUGCAUGACGUUUAACAUUGUUUAUUGUACUUUGCUGCCAUCUUGUGGUAUCUACAUUAAAUUACAAUCCCACAAUUACAAUUUUGCCAUACCCCAAAUUUGGUAUUUCAACAUCUUGAAGUAACACGAAAGAGAGUUCUUGUAUUUUUGGGUUGUGUGACCUGCAAAAGGCUCGGGGGUGAUGGGCAGUGGUCCCAUCUCUGGCUAAACUUGAGCCAAGAAAACCUCUGAGUGAAUUUGACUCACAUGCUGGUUAUCCUCAAUCUCUUGCAGAGCCUUGAUCUCCCGCAGGGCCUGGUUGGGAAUGGCAUCCUCCAGCCGCCUGAGAGCCACCUUCUUCAAAGCCACCGUCUCUCCAGUCUGUUUGACAAGUUUCUUUGUUCAAUUAACAUUCCAACAGUAACACUUAGUCUUUUGUAGUCACCUCCACGUGUUUGGCCUUGAACACGAUGCCAUGAGCGCCUUCCCCGAUGCGACCCAGAAUGCUGUACUGCUCCAUCACGUACCUACUGUUUUGUUGAAUGACUGCAUGA